AUGGAGGUGAUGAAUAUUUCCCCAAAUGAUCGAAGCUGAUUAAACUGUGCUACAUUUUUCUCUCUUCAGAGAGACCAAGCCAGAUUUCUGAUCCAU